rnacentral:rRNA from 1 species
CACGUAGUUAGCCGGAGCUUCCUCCCCAGGUACCGUCAUCUUCGUCCCUGGGGACAGUAGUUUACAAUCCAGAGGACCGUCUUCCUACACGCGGCGUCGCUGCAUCAGGGUUUCCCCCAUUGUGCAAUAUCCCCCACUGCUGCCUCCCGUAGGAGUCUGGGCCGUGUCUCAGUCCCAAUGUGGCCGUUCAACCUCUCAGUCCGGCUACCGAUCGUCGGCUUGGUGGGCCAUUACCUCACCAACUACCUAAUCGGACGCGAGCCCAUCUUCGAGCGAUAAAUCUUUGAUACAAAAGGGAUGUCCCUCCUGUAUGUUAUGCGGUAUUAGCGACCGUUUCCAGCCGUUAUUCCCCUCUCGAAGGCAGGUUGCUCACGUGUUACUCACCCGUCCGCCACUAAACUAUACAAAAUUCCAUCCGAAAACUUCAUCUUGCAUAGUCCCGUUCGACUUGCAUGUGUUAGGCGCGCCGCCAGCGUUCGUCCUGAGCCAGGAUCAAACUCU